rnacentral:rRNA from 1 species
CGGAUAUGCAUAUCAAUACGCGGAGGAUGCUUCCGCCUUCGAAGGGGCAACCUGCCGUAUGGAACCUAUCAAAACCUUUUUUUGCAUUUAGCAUUACCUGUUCUGAUACAAACAAUCGUUACAACUUUCAACAAUGGAUCUCUUGGCUCUGGCAUCGAUGAAGAACGCAGCGAAAUGCGAUAAGUAGUGUGAAUUGCAGAAUUCAGUGAAUCAUCGAAUCUUUGAACGCACAUUGCGCCCCUUGGUAUUCCAUGGGGCAUGCCUGUUCGAGCGUCAUCUACACCCUCAAGCUCUGCUUGGUGUUGGGCGUCUGUCCCGCCUCUGCGCGCGGACUCGCCCCAAAUUCAUUGGCAGCGGUCCUUGCCUCCUCUCGCGCAGCACAUUGCGCUUCUCGAGGUGCGCGGCCCGCGUCCACGAAGCAACAUUACCGUCUUUGACCUCGGAUCAGGUAGGGAUACCCGCUGAACUUAAGCAUAUCAUCAGCCGGAAGAA